UACGAAGGGGGCUAGCGUUGCUCGGAAUCACUGGGCGUAAAGCGCACGUAGGCGGAUUGCUAAGUCAGGGGGUGAAAUCCUGGAGCUCAACUCCAGAACUGCCUUCGAUACUGGCGAUCUUGAGUCCGGAAGAGGUGAGUGGAACUCCUAGUGUAGAGGUGGAAUUCGUAGAUAUUAGGAAGAACACCAGUGGCGAAGGCGGCUCACUGGUCCGGUACUGACGCUGAGGUGCGAAAGCGUGGGGAGCAAACAGG
rnacentral:rRNA from 1 species